ensembl:lncRNA
GCGGGGGCUCAGAGCUUCGGCUGCGGGAGGGCCGCGGUGGUCGCGCCCGCAGCCGACGCAGCUCUGACCUAAUUAACCGGGUUGGGCUUUGUUACCGCCUUUGUGCGGCUCGAAGCGGAGCGGUGAUGCGGGGCGCGGGUUUUCGGGAAGGUUGGGGACCGUUUCGGAGAACUACGUUCGGCUGCCGGCGAAGGGUCUGUCGGGCUGUUAGGAGCAGAAGAAACUGCGGCGCUAAAACCAGAACGGCAGCCACAAAACCGGACCAAAGUGUCCUUCUGGUCCUUAGUGCAUCCUUGCAUUUGUACUUGUGCCAGCUGUGCCGGUGCGCCUCAGCCUCGAACAGGAAGAGUUCCUCUUGCAGGCAAUGCCAGGCACAGUUGGCAUUUUCUCUCUGAAGGAGAAUUUCCCAAACAUCAGAAGCGGGGACCAGCAACACCCCCUAAUCUGCCGGUAUUUAAAAUAAAAACACUUAAUCCAGCAGGUUUAGUUCUGACAACCUUGCCUUUUCUACCCAAAGAUAAACUGAUCUGCAGAAUAUUAAGCAGAUGCCACUUCUUUGUCACGUUAAUCACUCGGGUUUGUCUUACUGCACCACUUAUUAAUAACAUAUAUGCAAGGUCCGUCGCAACUGCUGGGUGUACGAGUGUUAACCAAGCUGAAUGUGCCAGCAGCAGAAAGAAAGAUUUAAAAACUUAAGGAUUUGCAGACAUACCAGUACAACAGCAAAGGCUAUUUCUGCAGCCAUGAAUCCCUGGAGGAACUGAGCAAUGGAAGGGAAGUGCAGCAACUCAUCUGAAGCCCAGCUCAGCUGAGGACAAUUAUGCAGAUGACAUUACAGCUCACCUGGCUAGCUGUUAAGAUGUCUUUACAGUGUUUACCAGAGAAGAAAAUUGUAUAUCCUUUAUGGGCCACACAAAUUAAAAGACUGCUUGCAUCUUUAUGAGAUGGCUUUUUUUUUCCAGGAAAGCUGUAUGAGAGGAUUUGGAACAAGCAAGAGGAAGAAAUAAAGACCAAGAACUGGUGGAUCGACCUGUGGAGAUUUUCUUGAGGAAAAGGAAAGACUGAGGAAGAGAUGUGAAAGAAAAAUACACGUUGUACUAUAGACAGCUGGAAGAGUGUUUUCCUAGAAUCCAGCUUCAUAUAAACAAGUUGUCACCUGUAGUUGUCACAGGGUGUUGUGCCAUCACAAAUGGGGAGAGAAGCAUCCAGAAGAAAAAAUCUCUAGGAAAUGAGGAGGGGGAAAAGGCAGCCCGUACCAUUCCAGCACUUCGAAUUGCAGCCGCCUCCAGCUUAGCUGUGUCGAGUUACUGAGGAGGGCUGCCAGGGAGAGGAGCAGCAAUGCUCUGCCACAACAGCUCCUGGAAGUGAUGAAAGAAGAAAUCUGGCUGAGAGAGUAUUUGAUUACAACUGUAACAGCUAAAGCUGAUCUCCAGGCUCCUUCCCUGUCGCUCCCUGCAGGGACUUAGAAUUUUCCCAAACAGAGCCUUUUGCUCUAAAGCUUAAUCUCAUCUCCAAACACGAUCUGUUAAUGUAAGUGUGAGGCCAGUUUGGUUCCAUCUUAUUUCAACCAGCAUAUUUUCUUAUCACCUAUCUAUGGCCGUUGGAAUAUCUAGUCUGCAUUCUUUAGCAAAGCUGAUAUCAAAGCAGUUAAAAAUGGAUAGUUUAAUAUUUCUCACAGUUAAUUUAAAAUGUAAGCCUGCAACUUAAUUAUUGCAAACUUUUACAGUGCAGUGAUCCCAUUGACAGCUAAUGAGAAUUUGCAAACGAUGCUCAGUUUUUAUUAAAAUGAGAUUGGAAAACAUAAUUAUUUCAUUGAAAUAGUUUACAUGAGACUCCAUUGCAGUUAUUUUAUUUCAUUUUUAAUACGGUAUCAAAAAUAUUUACUGCAUUAAGAAGGGAUAAGUAAAGAAUUCUUAGGUGAACAACCUUAAUUUAGCCUCACAGAGAACAUUCUCUGCCUGUUCCUUUAUGAUGUAUUGUCUAUUCAGUCAACUUAGAAACACGAGCGCAGGCUGUGCGAUACAGAUGGGAUGGCAUUGCAGUGGGGACUUUAAAACAAAUGACAAAUUUUUAACUCUUUGUUCUCUCAAUGUUGUUUGCCUUUAGCUGCUUAUUCUACUUUCCUA